GUGCCAGCCGCCGCGGUAAUACGUAGGUGGCAAGCGUUAUCCGGAAUUAUUGGGCGUAAGGCGCGCGUAGGCGGUUUUUUAAGUCUGAUGUGAAAGCCCACGGCUCAACCGUGGAGGGUCAUUGGAAACUGGAAAACUUGAGUGCAGAAGAGGAAAGUGGAAUUCCAUGUGUAGCGGUGAAAUGCGCAGAGAUAUGGAGGAACACCAGUGGCGAAGGCGACUUUCUGGUCUGUAACUGACGCUGAUGUGCGAAAGCGUGGGGAUCAAACAGGAUUAGA
rnacentral:rRNA from 1 species